rnacentral:misc_RNA from 1 species
UACGAAGGGGGCUAGCGUUGUUCGGAAUUACUGGGCGUAACGCGCACGUAGGCGGACCAGAAAGUCAGAGGUGAAAUCCCAGGGCUCAACCUUGGAACUGCCUUUGAAACUAUUGGUCUGGGGUUCGAGAGAGGUGAGUGGAAUUCCGAGUGUAGAGGUGAAAUUCGUAGAUAUUCGGAGGAACACCAGUGGCGAAGGCGGCUCACUGGCUCGAUACUGACGCUGAGGUGCGAAAGCGUAGGUAGCGAACAGG